AGUGAACGCUGGCGGUAGGCCUAACACAUGCAAGUCGAACGGCAGCACAGUAAGAGCUUGCUCUUACGGGUGGCGAGUGGCGGACGGGUGAGGAAUACAUCGGAAUCUACUUUUUCGUGGGGGAUAACGUAGGGAAACUUACGCCAAUACCGCAUACGACCUACGGGUGAAAGCAGGGGAUCUUCGUACCUUGCGCGAUUGAAUGAGCCGAUGUCGGAUUAGCUAGUUGGCGGGGUAAAGGCCCACCAAGGCGACGAUCCGUAGCUGGUCUGAGAGGAUGAUCAGCCACACUGGAACUGAGAAACGGUCCAGACUCCUACGGGAGGCAGCAGUGGGGAAUAUUGGACAAAGGGCGCAAGCCUGAUCCAGCCAUACCGCGUGGGUGAAGAAGGCCUUCGGGUUGUAAAGCCCUUUUGUUGGGAAAGAAAAGCAGCAGGUUAAUACCCCGCUGUUCUGACGGUACCCAAAGAAUAAGCACCGGCUAACUUCGUG
rnacentral:rRNA from 1 species